ensembl:lncRNA
CUGAGGUAGUCGUUUGUUAACAAGAAAUUUGUGGAGUGGUUGAAAAAUGAGUUUUAAUGACUCCAACCUAAGUCCGGUGGUCUACUCUCAGAGCGCUAUCUAGAGAAGGCAGAGCCUACAAGCAGGGCAGAGCUCAACACCGCCUCCCUCAGUAAGUACAAGAACGUGAUUGACAGCUGUGGAGGAUGGGGGCUGUUCCAGGAGCUGCUGGUUGCCUUGGAGAUGGUCGCCAGGGGCCACGGCUGCUCCAUCGCCAACGUGGCUACCCACUAUGUCCUGGACCGGCCUGCUGUGGGUGGAGUCAUCGUGGGCUGUCAUCUCGGUGUUGCCGGGGCAGAACACAGAGGACAGCCUCCACGGCUGCAGCCCAGAAUUGGAACUCACGGCGCAAGACCUGCGCACCAUCGAUGGUGUGGUGCAGCGCUCGCGUGACCUCAUGAGCCUCAUCGGAGACUGGAGACGAGUACAGGAACUAGAGGAGAAUGGAGAGGAUGGACCAGAUCUCACCCAUCUACACACAAUACCCCAUGACAAAUUGAAAACAUGUUUUUAGAAAUGUUAGUAAAUUUAUUGAAAAUGAAAUACUAAUAUCUAAUUUACAUAAGUAUUCACACCCCUGAGUCAAUAAAUGUUAUAAUUUUUUUAACCUUUACUUAACGAGGCAAGUCGGUUAGGAACAAUUUCUUAUUUACAAUGACGGCCUACCAUGGCCAAAUCUUUGGCAGCGAUUCCAGCUGUGAGUCUUCUGGGUAAGUCUCUAAGACAUUUGCACACCUGGAUUGUACAAUAUUUGCACAGUAUUCUUUGUAAAAUUCGUCAAGCUCCGUCAAGUUGGUUGUUGAUCAUUCCAAGACAGCCAUUUAAGUCUAGCCAUAGAUUUCCAAGGCCAUUUUAAGUCAAAACUGUACCUAGGCCUCUCAGGAAAAUUCAAUGUAAUCUUGUUAAGUGUAUAUUUGGCCUUGUGUUUUAGGCUAUUGUCCUGC